rnacentral:rRNA from 1 species
UGGGGAAUAUUGGACAAUGGGCGCAAGCCUGAUCCAGCAAUGCCGCGUGAGUGAUGAAGGCCUUCGGGUUGUAAAGCUCUUUCGCCCGCGACGCGGUAGCGGGAGAAGAAGCCCCGGCUAACUUCAUGCCAGCAGCCGCGGUAAAACCGGUUACUCCUACGG